rfam:Felis catus isolate Cinnamon breed Abyssinian chromosome A2, whole genome shotgun sequence.
GCCUGGGUGGCUCAGUGGGUUAAGCGUCCGACUUCGGCUCAGGUCACGAUCUCGCGAUCCGUGGGUUCGAGCCCCGCGUCGGGCU